CUCACACUUUGCAUGCUUAUGUUCCUGCAGGUUAUGGUUGAUAUUUCAUAGGUCUCACUCUCAUUGUUGUAUUCAUUUCCUUGUUUUCUUUUAAUUUGCUUCAGCUGACAGGAACUUCAAUGCAGCUACUACCUUGGCUUGAUGAUGAGCAGGAGUACUGCAGGAUGAUGCUUGCAAGACUCAUGUGGCUUUUGUGGAUGCAACAUAGGACUGUGAUUUGUGUGAUGCUUGACCAGUCUUGUCAUGUUUGGGUUUUGUAGGCUUGCUGCAUAAGGGUGAUUGAGGUCUGCAAUUGGCCAAAUUCUAUUUGGUAUUGUGCUAACCGAUUCUUGUAGGUUGUUGCAGGAUUGGAUCAUGUUGAAUGCUGCAGAUGCUGCUGGAUCCAACUUCUGAUACAGCCUAGAUGUGGCCCCUAUUUUUGUAGUAAGUUCAGGGAUGAUGGCUACUCAUGAUGCAGUCUUGUCGUGCUUAACCUGU